UACAGAGGGUGCAAGCGUUGUUCGGAAUUAUUGGGCGUAAAGGGCGCGUAGGCGGUGCUGUAAGUCUGUAGUGAAAUCUCUGGGCUCAACUCAGAGUCUGCUAUAGAAACUGCAGUGCUAGAGUGUGGGAGAGGUGAGUGGAAUUCCCGGUGUAGCGGUGAAAUGCGUAGAUAUCGGAAGGAACACCUGUGGCGAAAGCGGCUCACUGGACCAUAACUGACGCUGAGGCACGAAAGCGUGGGUAGCAAACAGG
rnacentral:rRNA from 1 species